rnacentral:lncRNA from 1 species
AUGGUUAAAUGUAUGGGUUUAUCGUGACGAUCCGUGGCGGCGUCUGGAUCGCUCACGUGGCUGUGUGCUGACGUGGUCUUGUUCACUCCCACACUCCUCCUCAAGGCCAACGUCUAAGGUCAGCCCAAGUGCCUUCGUGAAGACUUCAUGUUUAACACGAGGAAGUGGUUUUGUUAGCACGUCCGCUAGCAUGGAGUUUGUCGGGCAGAACUCCAGCUCGAUCAUUCCUCUCUGGAUCUGGAGUUCUUGGUCAAAGCUAUUGCAGACUGGUUGUCACACAAUAGCUUGACCACGCCCGUGUUGAUUUGUAGAUCCUGGAGAAGUCCCUUCAGCCACGCUGCUUCCUUGGUUGCAGCUGCUGCAGCUAUGUACUCAGCCUCGGUACUCGACAUCGCUGUAAUAGCCUGUCGUUUGCUGCACCAGCUUGCGACAUUUCCAUUUAGCAGGAAAACGUAGCCUGUGGUUGACUUCCUGUUGUCUGGAUCCCCGGCCCAAUCAGCAUCAGAGUAACCAGCCAGCUUGUUGCCGCUCUCGCCUCUGGAGUACUUUAAACUUAGCUGGUUAGUCCCUGCCACGUACCUCAUAAUACGUUUCAAAGCCUGCCAGUGUGCUGUGGAGGGACGGUCCAGGUACUUCGCCACUGUUCCCACAGCAUACGCAAGGUCAGGCCGAGUGGAGAUUACCAGGUAGAUCAGGCUGCCGACCAUAGAGCGAUAGACUGCUCUAGAUGCUUUCUCCUCCUCGGGAGAUUGAUCAAGGUACUCUCCACUCUCAGCAGAUAAUUUCGUGCCUGUUUCCAUGGGAGUAGCAACCGGAUUAACAUGAGCAAGGCCAUACCUCUGGAGCACGUCGGAAACAUAUUUUGCCUGGCUUAGCUCCAGAGUGCCUCGUUCCCUGUUGCGCGUCACCUGGAUACCGAGGCAGAAAUGCAACUCACCGAGGUCUUUCAUGGCAAAUUUAGCGCCAAGGUACGUUUUAAAUUUGUGGAUCAAACGUAGCUGAUUUGCCACGAGAAUAGCAUCGUCCACAUAUAGCGCAAGGAACAAAUAGCCCUCAGCGUCAAAAUAUAUGUAGAGGUUACAAUCAGCAGCACUGCGCACGAAACCAAGGGAAAUUAGAAAAGAAUCUAUUUUCGUGUACCAUUGGUGCUUGAGUCCGUAGAGAGCUUUGUUAAGCUUGCAAACGAGGUGUUCUUCUCCAGGCUGGAUAAAACCAGGAGGCUGAGCCAUAUACACCUCUUCAUCGAUGUCGCCGUUAAGGAACGCAGUACAAACGUCAAGUUGAUGGAGCUCGAGAUCCAAUUCUGCAGCUAAGAUUAGUAGCAUACGAAUGGUUGUGAGUUUCACCACCGGGCUGUAAGUCUCCGAGUAGUCCAGCCCAUGAACUUGAGAAAAUCCGCGUGCCACAAAUCUCGCCUUGUAGCGCUCAAUGCUUCCAUCAGCGUUGUACUUUUUCUUAAACAACCACUUGGAUGAGACGAGCUUUCUGCGAGCUGGAAGUUCAACCAGCGACCAAGUGUUGUUUUUCUGGAGAGAAUCAUACUCCUCCUGCAUAGCUGCCUGCCAGUGUUCAGCUUCUGGUCCAUGUAGAGCCGCUUGGGGACCGAGAGAGGCAGGUGGAGCCGACAGAGCCCAGAAGUAGGCACGCUUUCCUAUAGGCAUCGCCUCCUUGGCUUUAAGAGAUGGUUUCACGACACGACCCGAGCGUGUCACCACUGCUGUGCCGGCUGGAGGAGGUGGUAGCUUGGGAAUGCUAGGAGGAGUGGUGGCAUCUUGAUAUAACUCGUCGCCAACGAACAGGUCAGCCACAAGCGUGGAAAGAUCUGGCUGUUCAUUGGUGCUUGAGGAUGCAGCCGCUGUGGCCUGUGGAGUCGUCAGAGGAGGUGUCGAAGGAAGAGAAGUACCGUGAUCAGCUCCUCCUGCCAGAUCGCCUCCUUCGGGCGCUCCUUCAGCAACUCCUCCUGGCUCUGCAGCGGCUGGAUUGUCUGGUGCUGGGUGGAGAUGUGGAACGUCGUCCAAAAUCUCAGAAAGAUCCACCAGAGAUGGUGGAGAAACAGGAGGGAGUCUCAGGGUAUCUCGAUAAAGACGAGCUUCAUCAAACACCACAUCUCGGCUCACCACCAGUUUCCUGCGCUGGCAGUUAUAGAGUCGAUAGGCUUUUACCUGGGUGUGAUAGCCCAUGAAGAUGCAUUUCUCGCUCUUGGGAUCCAGCUUCCGCCGCUGAACAUCGGGGAUGUGGGCGUAGGCUAUGCAACCAAACACCCUCAAGUGCCCUAACUUGGGGCGCUUCCCAGUCCAUACUUGAAACGGCACCUGUCCUGUGGAACGUGUUGGCAGCCGGUUCCGGAGGUACACUGCUGUGUUGAGUGCCUCUCCCCAAAACACCUUGGGCAUGCCAGCGUGCUGGAGAAGGCAGCGUACACAGUCCAUAAGUGUCCUGUUCAGGCGCUCGGCGACCCCAUUCUGCUGCGAGGUGUGGGCUGCGGUGUACUCGUGGUGGAUGCCAGCCUGAGCAAGAAAUGCCAGAAACUCCUUGCUCAUAUACUCACCGCCGCCAUCUGAACGUAGUGUCCGGAUGGUACAGCCAGUGGCAUUUUCUGCCCAGCUUUUGUAGACCUGGAAGUGAUGGUAGACCUCUCCCUUGUGUGCCAUGAGAACAGCCACCGCAUAGCGUGAGUAGUCGUCAAUGAACGAAACGAAGUACCGCUUGUGACUGAGAGUUGCUUCUGGCACAUGGCACACAUCCGUGUGUACCAGCUGAAGAAAUCCUGAGGCGCCAUCUUCUGGACUUCUGCGUGGAAAGGGUAGUCUUGGCUGCUUCCCCAGUUGGCACGUCUCACAUACUCCCAGUUGGCUGGCACCGGUGAGGGUAAAGUCAUCAGCAAGCUUGUGGCUAGCAAGUAGCUGGAUGUCGUGAGAAUUGGCAUGCCCUAGCCGAGCGUGCCAGAGCUGGAGAGAGUUGGCAGCCCAGGAGCUGGGGCGAAUUGCAAGCAAAUGCCCCUGCUCGUGAGUUGAGAGGAUCAACUGAGCAUUGAGCUUGUAGAGAGUCUCAGCUCGUCUACCAAAAGCUACUGGAUGGCCAGUCUCGUCAAAGAUGGUGCAUCCGUCUGCGUUGAAGAGUGUUGAGAAGCCUUGAUCUGCUGCUACACCAACUGAGAACACUGUCUGUCCUGCUUCUGGUACGUAGUAGACCUGGUUCACGAGCUUCUCAGCUCCACUCUCCAACUUUAUGACCGUUCCUUGUCCUUCCACUGUUAAGGGGCGUUUGUCUCCUACAAAGACUUGCUUCUCCUGCUCCAGUGGCCGGUACUUGUGAAAAGCUCUCUUCAAUGGUGUGAGGUGCAUCGAGGCUCCAGAAUCCAUCCAGAGCACUUCGGCUUCGGACACAGUGGAUGAAGAUGCAGCGAGCGUCAUCAUCAACAUCGUGUCAGGUUGGCGUGAAGAAGAGCUUCUUUCAGCGCGAGCUUUCUCUGCGGCUUUCUUGAUCCGGCAUUCACGCUCCACGUGGCCAGCUUUGCCGCAGUAGUUACAUGGGCCCUUGCGUUUUUUAUUGGUUGCAAAUCCAGGGCUGGGAGAAGGGCUCUUUUGUCCUCGAACAGGGCCAUCUCGUUUCUUCCCACCCGAUUGCUUUCCCAUGAUCAAGGCCUGCUCCACCCGAGCAGCCUGAGAGGGCGCCUUUUGUCUCCGCUCGUUCUGCUUUCGUUCUUCCUCGAUCAGGUCCGAGUAGAGCGAGUCCAAGUCCUUUCCAGGUACAGCCGAGAGCAUCGAUGCGAAAGGUUGGAGAUCAGGGGAGACAGAGCUUAGAAGGAAUGCCUUAGCUUGGUCAAUGGUGAUUGCCGCUUCCGCGUCCUUCAGCUCGGUGAUCAUCGCUUUAAACUUUCCAAUGUAAGUGGCCAUGGUGUCAUCAGGUUGCAUUCUCAUCGUGAAGAACCUUUGUGUUAGCACCACCUUAGCAUUGGCAGCUUUGGCAGCGAAGAUUUGUGUAAGGGAUGUCCAGUUCUGGUGGGCUGUUUUGGUAAGAUCAAGGAGAUGAACGAAUUCAUCCCCAAGACCUAACCCGAUGACAGAGAGCGCUUUUCGAUUCUUGGAGUCCCAGUCGAGCCGUUGGGUUACAUCCGCAGCAGCCGGACGUUGAGUCGUUCCAUCCACUAUAGGCCAGCAGUCCUUGGCCAAAAGGAUAAGCUGUACUUUUGUUUUCCAAGUGGAGAAAUUCUGUCCCGUGAACUUUUGGAGAAGUUUCUCCCAGCCCCCAGAGUCCCAAGAAUUUCCUGCUGCGUUAGCAGAAGACAUUCUAUCUAUUAAUCUAAGAAUAGAUUAAACAGAGAAUUUAGAAAGGACGGCGUGGAGAAGAAUCGUGAAAAACUCGGCCGCAACAAGGGCACACCAUCCGGCAGGCUGGGCAAAGAGCUUGUUGGCGCUUUCGGUCCUGGAUCUUCCGCUCCACCCGCGCCAGCACUGCCAAAGCCCUCGCGCGCUCCUGAGCCAAGGGUUCCUGGCCCCUUUGAUUCUUCAUCUGCCACUGUCCUCUUGCCAUUAGAUCGUUCGCUGCUCCGAUACCAUGUGGUAUUAUGAAACGGUGUUGUGUUAUUAUUAUGACGGUUGAUACACGGUUAAAUGUAUGGGUUUAUCGUGACGAUCCGUGGCGGCGUCUGGAUCGCUCACGUGGCUGUGUGCUGACGUGGUCUUGUUCACUCCCACAUUACCAUGCUGCCAGAUCUUGCUGGACGGAGUCUGGGCCUACACGCACAAAAGACAACGACCAGUCACUCACUGGAGCUUUGGCACGCACGCCUGGGGCAUCCUAGUGCUGAUAGAAUCAAGCAGCUCACACGCGAGCAGAUGGUUGAAGGUCUAGACCUGGACCCAAGAGCCGUUCUUCCAUUUUGCCAGGGCUGUCAGCUAGGAAAAUCUACUCGCCAACCUUUCCCCAAGACUGGAGCAUCUCGAGCUACAGAGCUCAUGGAACUUGUACACACUGAUGUGUGUGGCCCGAUGGCCACCACAGCAGUGGGAGGUAUCCAAUACUUUAUCAGUUUCAUUGAUGACUACAGUCGUCGCACUAUGAUCUACCCUAUGGCUCGCAAAUCCCAAUCGUUACACUACUUCCAGACUUUCAAGGAUAUGGGAGAAACACAAACUGGGAAAAUGCUCAAGCGAUUGAGAAGUGAUGGUGGAGGCGAAUUCACUUCCAAUGCUUUCAACCAGCUGUGUGAGCAAGGAGGGAUUGUGCGAGAACUUACAACGCGAGAGACUCCACAACAGAAUGGCGUAGCUGAGCGCAAGAAUCGCACACUAGUGGAGAGUGCUCGGGCAAUGCUACUUUCCAGUGGUUUGCCUCGCAGCUUCUGGUUUCACGCUGUCUUGACGGCGAACUAUCUCCAGAACCGGCUCCCCACCUCUGCCCUUGCUGACAUCACUCCUGAAGAAGCAUGGAGUGGCAAGAAACCUACAGUUACGCAUCUGAGAAUAUUCGGGUGUGAAGCGUGGGCACACAUCCCUGAUGGAAUGCGCAAGAAAUUGGAUCCCAAGAGCCAGAAGGCUGUGUUUGUGGGCUACAGCCUCGAUCACAAAGCCUAUCGUCUCUGGAAUCCAAUCACGAAGCAGGAGAUCCUGAGCAGAGAUGUGGUUUUCAACGAGAAUUCGUUUCUUCCUUCUAGUCAAGGUUCUACUUCCAGACCUACCUUGACCGAAGAAAAUGACGUUGAAGCGGAACAAGAUCAGUUGACUGUCGGCACGAUCACUGUGCCGCUUCAAACAGUCCCUACACAACAACCCAUGCCCGCUUCUACUCCAACACCACCAACCCCGCCGCCUCCUCCAGAUCCUCUACGCAGAUCGAUCCGCACAAGGCGGCCUACUGAGCGUCUCAUCGAGACAAUGGUCUCCUCUCGUGCAGCUGGGACUCCUACUGUUCCGAGGACCUAUGGAGAAGCCAUGGCCUCACAGGAAGCGUCUUACUGGCGUGUAGCAAUGGAAGCCGAGAUUGCUUCACAGCAAAAGAACGAGACACAUGUUCUUGUUCCAACUGUGCCUUCCAAUCGCCAGAUUAUCAAGAGCAUGUGGGUGUAUGCUCUGAAGCUUAAUCCUGAUGGCUCGGUUCGCUACAAGGCGCGAUUGGUGGCGAAAGGAUGCUCGCAAGUUCCUGGACUUGACUACAACGACACCUUUGCUCCAGUGGUUAAGCAUUCUAC